rnacentral:rRNA from 1 species
AUGAACGCUGGCGGCGUGUUUAAGGCAUGCAAGUCGAACGAUCUUUGUCGCAAGACAAAGCGAGUGGCAAACGGGUGCGUAACACAUUGGUAACCUACCCUGAAGUUCGGGAUAACUCCGCGAAAGCGGAGCUAAUACCGGAUGCGAUAUUUUCUCUCAUGAGAAACUAUCAAAGAUUUAUCGCUUCAGGAGGGGCCUAUGGUCUAUCAGCUAGUUGGUAAGGUAACGGCUUACCAAGGCAAUGACGGAUAGCGGGUGUGAGAGCAUGACCCGCCUCACUGGGACUGAGACACUGCCCAGACUCCUACGGGAGGCUGCAGUCGAGAAUCUUCCCCAAUGGCCGCAAGGCUGAGGGAGCGACGCCGCGUGCAGGAUGAAACCCUUCGGGGCGUAAACUGCUUUUAUGUGGGAAAAAUUCUGAUGGUACCACAUGAAUAAGGGGCUGCUAACUUCGU